GGUUACUGCUAUCGGUGUUCGCCUAAGCCAUGCGAGUCAUAUGUUCUUCGGAACAUGGCGUACUGCUCAGUAACACGUGGAUAACCUGCCCUUGGGUCCGGCAUAACCCCGGGAAACUGGGGAUAAUUCCGGAUAACGCACAUAUGCUGGAAUGCUUUAUGCGUCAAAUGGAUUCGUCCGCCCAAGGAUGGGUCUGCGGCCUAUCAGGUAGUAGUGGGUGUAAUGUACCUACUAGCCUACGACGGGUACGGGUUGUGAGAGCAAGAGCCCGGAGAUGGAUUCUGAGACAUGAAUCCAGGCCCUACGGGGCGCAGCAGGCGCGAAAACUUUACAAUGCGGGAAACCGUGAUAAGGGGACACCGAGUGCCAGCAUCAUAUGCUGGCUGUCCGGGUGUGUAAAAUACACCUGUUAGCAAGGGCCGGGCAAGACCGGUGCCAGCCGCCGCGGUAACACCGGCGGCCCGAGUGGUGAUCGUGAUUAUUGGGUCUAAAGGGUCCGUAGCCGGUUUGGUCAGUCCUCCGGGAAAUCUGACGGCUUAACCGUUAGGCCUUCGGGGGAUACUGCCAGACUUGGAACCGGGAGAGGUAAGAGGUACUACAGGGGUAGGAGUGAAAUCUUGUAAUCCCUGUGGGACCACCUGUGGCGAAGGCGUCUUACCAGAACGGGUUCGACGGUGAGGGGCGAAAGCUGGGGGCACGAACCGGAUUAGAUACCCGGGUAGUCCCAGCCGUAAACGAUGCUCGCUAGGUGUCAGGCAUGGCGCGACCGUGUCUGGUGCCGCGGGGAAGCCGUGAAGCGAGCCACCUGGGAAGUACGGCCGCAAGGCUGAAACUUAA
rnacentral:rRNA from 1 species